rnacentral:lncRNA from 10 species
AGUUGUUUGAAUUAUUUGUAAAUUCUGAAUAUUAGUUACAUGUUGGCACAUAGUUCGCAAAUAUGUUCUUUUAUUCUGUAGGUUGCCUAUUUACCCUGUUGAUUAUUUUUCUUGCUGUGCCUAAACAUUUUAGUUUGAAUCCCAUUUAUCUAUUUUUUAUAAUAAUAACAUAAUAAUAGUUUUUUUUGUUGUGUUCUUGACUAGUUUUGGUGUCAAGGUGAUACCUCAGAGUGACUUAGGAAGAAUUUCAUUAUCCUGAAUUUUUGGGAAGAGUUUCAGGAGGAUUAUUAUUCUUAGUGCAUUUGGUAGAAUUUGGCUGUCCAUUUAUCUACUCCCGAGCUUUUCUUUUUCAAGACUUUUUUUAUUACUGCCUCAAUCAUGCUACUCAUUAUUGGUUUGUGUUACUGUUGUAUCCAUUGAAAUGUCUGUUCUUUCACUUCUGAUUGUUUAUUUAGAUCUGUCUUCUGCUUUUGGUUAAGCUAGCUAGCAGUUUAUCAAUUUUGUCUUUUUGAAAAAUCAACUAUUCUGUUGAUCAUUUUUAUUGUUUUUGGUCUUAAAUUCAUUUGGUUCUGUUCUGAUUUUUGUUUUUUUUUUUCUUGUAACUUGGAAUUUGGUUUGUUAUUAAUUUUCUAGUUCCUUGAAGUGUGAUGUCAAGUCCUUAAUAUGUAAGCUUUCUACUUUUUUGAUGCAGGCAUUUAGGCUAUAAACUGCUCUCUUUGUACUAUAUUUGCAUAUCUCACAGGUUUUAUUAUAUUGCAUUUCUAUUUCCAUCUUUUUUCCCACAAUUUUUAAAUUUUCAUUUUAAUUUUCUUUUUGAGAUGGGUUUUACUCUGUCACCCAGGCUGGAGUGUAGUAGCACAAUCUUGGCUCACUGCAACCUCUGCCUUCCAGGCUAAAGCGAUCUUUUUAUUUCAGCCUCCCGAGUGGCUAAGACUAUAGGUGUGCACCACCACAUUUAGCUUUUUUAAUAUGUAUUUUUUGUAGAGAUGGGGUUUGCCAUGUUGCCCAGGCUAGUCUCAAACUCCUGACCUCAGGGGAUCCACCUGCCUCAGCCUCCCAAAGUGCUGGGAUUGCAGCUGUGAGCCACCACCCCUGGCCGGCCAUCUUAAUUACUUCAUUUACACCGUGACUGUUCAGGAGUAUGUUGUUUAAAUUCUUUGUAAAUUUAUAGUUUCUGAAAUUUCUCUUGAUAUUGAUUUGUAGUUUUAUUCUCCUGUGAUCUAAGUAGGUAGUUGAUAUAAUUGUGAUUUAUGGGGGUACUUUGUUGAUUUGCCAAUUUCCUAUCUCAAUGGUCUCUCUGAUGCUGUGAGUAGAAUGUUGAAUUUCUCCACUAUCAUUGUGUUACUAUCUCUUUCUAUAGGUUUAAUAAUAUUUCUAUUUAAAAUCUGGGUGCUUUGAUGUUGGGUGCAUAGAUAUUUAGAAUUGUUAUAUCUUUUUGCUGAAAAGAUUUCUUUAUUAUUGGAUGAUUACCUUCUUUACCCUUUUUGUUGCACUUUUUAUUUAAAGUGUUUUAUUUGAUAUACAUACAGAUACUCCUGUUUGCUUUUGGUUUCUGUUUCUGUUGAUAUCUUUCCUCCCUUAUUUUUAAUCUAUAUGUGUCUUACAAGUAAGGUGAGAUUCUUGUAGGCACCAUAGAGUUGGACGAUUUUUUCUUAUUCAUAUCAUAAAUCUAUACAUUUUGAUGAAGGAUUUAAUUAAUUUAUAUUCAAGGUUAAUUUUUUCUUUCUUUUUCUUUUUAUUUUUUGAGAUGGAGUCUCAUUCUUGUUGCUCAGGUUGGAGUGCAAUGGUGCGAUCUCGGCUCACUGCCACCUCUGCCUCCCAAGUUCAAGUGAUUCUCCUGCCUCAGCCUAUUGAGUAGCGGUGAUUACAAGUGCCCACCACCGUGCCCAGCUAAUUUUUUGUAUUUUUAGUAGCGAUGGGUUUUCACAGUGUUGGCCAGGCUGGUCUCAAACUCCUGAUCUCAGGUGAUCCACCCUCUUUGGCCUCCAAAAGGUAUGAGCCACCUCACCCGGCCAUGGUUAAUAUUAAUAUUAACAUGUAGGUUUUGUUACUAUCAUAAUGUUAAUUAUUUUGUUUUUUUUUUCAUCUAUCUUUCUGGUUUAAUAAAAUUCUGUCAUGUUGUGAUUUGAUUUAUUUCUUUUUGUCUUUUGUUUUAUAAGACCUGUUAGUUUUAUACUUUUGUAUGUUUUAAUGAUGGUGAAUAUCAAUCUUUUGUUUUUCUAUUAGAAGUACCGGCCUGGCACAAUGGCUCAUGCCUGAAAUCUCAGCACUUUGGGAGACUGAGGUGGGUUGAUCACCUGAGGUCAGGAGUUUGAGACUAGCCUGGCCAACAUGGUGAAACUCCGUCUCUACUAAAAAUUCAAAAAUUAGCUGGGUGAGGUGGCGGGUGCCUGUACUUUCAGCUACUUGGGAGGCUGAGGCAGGAGAAUCACUUGAACCUGGAAGGCAGAGGUUGCAGUGAGCCGAGAUUGUGCCAUUGCACUCCAGCCUGGGCAACAAGAGCAAAACUGUCUCAGAAAAAAAAAAAAAAAAAAAAAAAAGAAAUCCCUGACAUCUUUUAUAGACCCAGUCUAGUGGUAAUUAGUUUCCCCAGCAUUUAUUUGUCAGGGUAAGACUAUUUCUUCUUCAUUUGUGAAGGUUAAUUUACCUUGAUGUAAAAUUUUUGGCUGGCACUUUUAUUUCAACACUCUCUAAGUGCCAUUCCAUUAUCUUCUGGCCAGUAAAGUUUCUGUUGAGAAGUGUGCUUUUAGUCUGAUGUGGUUUUCUUUAUAAAUGACUAGAUGCUUUUCUUUUGCUGAUUUUAUAAUUAGUUAUUUCAUUUCGACUUUAGAAAUUCUGGUUAUCAUGUGCCAUGAUGAAGUCUGUUUUGCAAUUUAUUUUACUGGUGAUUGCUGAGCUUCCUGUAUAUGUAUGUCUAAUUCUAUUGCUAGACUUGGAAAUUUUUCAUCAUUUAUUUUCUUAAAUAGGUUUUCUAAACUUUUUCAUGUUUUUUUCUUUCUAAGAAACACUGAUAAUUUUUAUGUUUAGUCACUUUAUGUAGUCAGAAACAUCUCAAAGUUUUCGUUCGUUUUUUAAAAUUCUUCUUAGUUUUGUCUGAGUAGAUUAUUUUAAAAGACCCAUUUAAAGGUCUGAAAAUUCUGUUUAUGCCUUUUCAGUCUACUAUUGGAUCAUUGAAUGUAUUUUCUUUUUCCUUCAGUAAAUCUUUCAGUUCCAUAAUUUUGUUUUGGUUUCUUUUAAAAGAUAUUUAUCUCCUUGGCACAUUUCCCAUUCAUACUCUAAAUUUAUUUAUUUAUUUUUGUAUUGGUUUUUAGAUUUCUUUUGCAUCUCUUUGAGCUUCUUUAAAAUCUAUAUUUUGAAGCCUUCUAAAAGUCUUUUAAAGUCCUUUCAAUUAUUUUUUUUUUCUUGGAAUACUGGAGAAUUAUUGUGUUCCUUUGAAAGUGUCAUAAACCUUGCUUUUCUGUGUUUUCUCUGUCUUUAUGUGUCUUUAUAUUGAUUUCUGCACAUCUGGAGAAACAGUUGUUUCAUUUUUUUAAAUUUACAUUCACUGGAGGAAGCUUUUUUUUUUGUUUUUUGAAGUUAUUACCAUGAUGUUUAUCACAUAGAACCAUUUGGCUUUAAUUUUGGAUUUGUGCAGAGGGAAAGACUGGAUAAGUUUCUUGAGUAUAAACAAAUAUAUACACACACACACACACACACAGAAACAUGUUUCUGUGUGUGUGUGUAUAUAUACACACACAUAUAUAUAUAUAUAUAUAUCACAAAUUUUGGCUUAGGAGUCAUCUUUUCUCUUAGGUUGAUUUUUAAUUCUAACUCCCAGAAAACAAUUAAUUUAUCUUUGUUUUAUUUGUCAUUGAGGCCCAGCAAACCUGAAGUAAAAGGGUGAGAAGGUAGGGUGGGUGCUGGAUAAUGAGAAAUUACUUAAGGGUUAUAAUGUAAAUUAUUUGAAUGAUGGAUACCCUAAAAGCCCUGACUUCGCCACUAUGCAGUCUAUGCAUGUAACUAAAUUACAUUUGUACACAACACUUUUGUAAAAAUAAAUUAAAAAGAACAACUAGAGUUUGCUAUCUUGCUUAUUCAUACAUACAAAUACAUCAUAAAUGUUUCCCAUGACAUUAUUAUUGAUACAGGAGUUAAAAAGAAAUUAUUUAGGCAGAUAGUGAGUGAGGGCAAGAAAGUCCUUCGUAAAGCUUUCCUUUUAAUAAAAAGCAGCCCACAAAUUAUUUCUUUUUUAACAAAGAACAGCCUGUAAAAUCAAGCUCCAAACAUCGAUAAGCAAGCUGAAAGCUUGCAUGAAUAAAUGUCGGCAGCUGUGCCAAUAGGAAAAGGGACUAACUGCGGACGGCGCAUGUUUAAAAUGGUGACACCCUCUUCCCAUUUCCUUGUUAACCACAUGUACAGUAAGAAGCAGGCAACAGGGUGCUGGCAAAUGCUCCAUUUGCA